rnacentral:piRNA from 1 species
UUUAGGAAAGAGCAGCACUAUAGA